GUAACGGCGAGUGAAGCGGCAACAGCUCAAAUUUGAAAUCUGGCCUCUUGGGGCUCGAGUUGUAAUUUGUAGAGGAUGUUUUGGGUACCGCCCCGGUUUAAAUUUCUUGGAACAGAAUGUCAAAGAGGGUGAGAAUCCCGUCUUGGACCGGCGGUAGGGCCUGUGUAAAACUCCUUCGACGAGUCGAGUUGUUUGGGAAUGCAGCUCAAAAUGGGUGGUAAAUUUCAUCUAAAGCUAAAUAUUGGCCAGAGACCGAUAGCGCACAAGUAGAGUGAUCGAAAGAUGAAAAGCACUUUGAAAAGAGAGUUAAACAGUAUGUGAAAUUGUUGAAAGGGAAGCGCUUGCAACCAGACUUGUACGCGGUGGUUCCUCUCGCCUUUUGGCGCGGGUACUCCGUCACGUUCAGGCCAACAUCGGUUUUGGGGGCCAGUUAAAGGCCCUGGGAAUGUACCUACCCACGGGUAGACUUAUAGACCAGGGUGUCAUGUGGCCUCCCGGGACCGAGGAACGCGCUUCGGCUCGGAUGUUGGCGUAAUGGUUGUCAGCGACCCGUCUUGAAACACGGACCAAGGAGUCUAGCAUCUACGCGAGUGUUUGGGUGUCAAACCCGGAACGCGGAAUGAAAGUGAACGGAGGUAGGAAGCUUCGGCUGCACUAU
rnacentral:rRNA from 1 species